GAGUUGGAGGUGAGCGCCAUCUAUGAGUUAACAGCACUACUAAACCUUCAUCACAGGGUACAGGGGGAGAGUUGGAGGUGAGCGCCAUCUAUGAGUUAACAGCAGUACUAAACCUUCAUCACAGGGUACAGGGGGAGAGUUGGAGGUAAGCGCCAUCUAUGAGUUAACAGCACUACUAAACCUUCAUCACAGGGUACAGGGGGAGAGUUUCUCGUCUGGUGGUUCUUGGAUCCAUCACCAGCUGGAGCCACAAGACAGAGGAAGAAGAUGGAGGACGGACCAAGUGUACCUCGAUCUGACAGCCCCGAAAAUAUCGUCCUGAGGCAUCGGAAACUUCAAGGACCAACAACACACCUCCACGGCAAGUUCAGACUCCGUUAACGGAGAAACGCCGCCGACCCGCGAGAGGGGAGACCGACGUCGUCACUUCACGUCUCGUCGUCGGGUGCACAAGUCGAGUGUAUUAGAGGACUUGUAUUUAAGUGUACUUGUACAGUAAUCCUAUAAAAGUGGUCAUUUAUGUAAACGUUUGUGUUUAAUGUGACGUCCCAUUGGUGUCGGCGGUACGGGACCUCUCAAAACUAUGGCCCAGAUUCACAUUUUCCAUCCCAUACCAAAUUUUGAUUAUGUGUUUAUUUAGUUUUUCUUUAAAGUACAGUACAGUUUAUUAAUAACUUUAAGCUUCGUUUUUAAAGCAUAAUGUCAUUGUUUAUUAAUUAUGAUUCUUUACAAAUGUUGUACUACUUUUUAUACCUUUUUCUGCUUGUAUGUUUCAAUUCAGUUAAUGAAACUUUUAUUUGCAUAGUUUUGAAGAAGACUACAGUACUUAGUUUAAAUGUUUGCAUAUCAACAGUGCAGUACUUUAUCUUAAGUAAUAUUUUCAGGUACUUUCUCCAUCACUGCCUAAAGUGGACCUGAUGUGAACUAGAAUGAAGUUGGCUGGAGAUAAAGUGAACUGGACCUGCAGUGAAGUGGACCUGAAGUAGUCUGUGGUACUUUCUCCAUCACUGCCUAAAGUGGACCUGAUGUGAACUAGAAUGAAGUUGGCUGGAGAUAAAGUGAACUGGACCUGCAGUGAAGUGGACCUGAAGUAGUCUGUGUUGUGGACGAGCGAGCCGAUGCAAGUUAGAGACGGGAACGGAGACAGAUUCUACAGUCGGCGUCCGAGAGCGUUUCUGAGCCGAUUCGGACGAAGACCGUCGACCGAGGAUGAAGACGCCGCUCGACGCGCCACGAAGACACUCGUCAAUUGCGGACGAAGAUAUCGCCGGACGUGCGAGGAAGACACCGCGGAAUACGGGAAGAAUACACUCGUCGAUGCAGAAGAAGACGCGUGUCGAUAUUGUAUCGCGACUUAUGUUUUGUGCCAGUCCAGUUUGAAUGUUUUAAAGACGAAGUUAAUUUGUAAAAUUGAUGCCCGUUUUGUUUGUGUAGAGUAAUGACUUUUAUAAUGUUUGUAGUAUUGUUUUUACAUACCGACUUUGGAAGUCGAUACAUAGUGAGAAUGAAUUUAUUGAAGAUGUUUCCUGUGAUGACUAGGGGUUUGCAAUAAUUUGUUGACAAGAUGAUCAUUGUAGACAUUUAGCAAAUAGGUCGUAGCAUUUCGAAUGUCAUUUAAUGCGGAAUUCCGGCACGCAGGUCACCGGCGGCGGGAUACGUCCUCAAAUAAUUGAAGCGCAAAUAUGAGACGACGCUCGCAUUUUGAAAGUAAAAGAAGGGGCAGAUCGGACCGACAUAGAUGAAUAAGAUGGUGUUGUUGAGGUAACUGAUGACUAUUUUGUUGAGUUAUGAGAAGGGAGAAUUAGAAGAUAGUUGUUUAGGACUGACUAUUUAGAAAGAGAGAGAGUAAAGGAAAUAGAUUGAGGUAGUAGUUAUAUAUUAGUGAAGAUAUAAAGUAAAAGGCGAUAAGGACGGUGGGAGGGACAAGGAUCGAUAGAUUUUGCAGGGCACGAAAGGAAUCGGCGCGCUAUCGCUCGGUCGGCGCGGUGGCGUAAUUGUGAGAAAUGGAUGCGCUGGGGAUUUUGAAGAGGGAAGAAGUCGCGCGGUAGAGGACACGCGGGGAAAUCUGCGGAAGGGACGAGUCGAGGAUCGGCGGCACGGUCGCGGGAGACGAUCGAAUCGACGACGUCUUUGAACGACCGGACGCAGAAGGGGCGGCGACGACGAAUCGAGUAAAUGUCGGUUUAGGAGAGUAAUACGUAAAAGGGGGGGGGUGCAGGUAUUUGCGGAUAUAGACUACGGUCGAUCGCGGUCUGUUCACGGGACGGGAAAGAGGGGCGGAGGACGGACACGGAAUGCGGGGGAAGUACGGAGAGGGAGACGACGCGGGGUCACGAGGAAAGUAGGAGAAUAGACGUGAAUAAUAAUAAUAAUAAUAAUAAUAAUUAAUGGUUUAUUGAAAGAGGUUGGCAGCCAGAAGGUUGAAAAUAUACAGUUACAUAUUUGGGGAAUGGGUUUCGAAU